rnacentral:rRNA from 1 species
UGGGGAAUAUUGCACAAUGGGCGAAAGCCUGAUGCAGCGACGCCGCGUGAGGGAUGAAGGCCUUCGGGUUGUAAACCUCUUUCAGUAGGGAAGAAGCGCAAGUGACGGUACCUACAGAAGAAGCACCGGCUAACUACGUGCCAGCAGCCGCGGUAAUACGUAGGGUGCGAGCGUUGUCCGGAAUUAUUGGGCGUAAAGAGCUUGUAGGCGGUUUGUCGCGUCUGCCGUGAAAAUCCGGGGCUCAACUCCG